rnacentral:rRNA from 1 species
AUUGAACGCUGGCGGCAGGCCUAACACAUGCAAGUCGAGCGGAUGAAGGGAGCUUGCUCCUGGAUUCAGCGGCGGACGGGUGAGUAAUGCCUAGGAAUCUGCCUGGUAGUGGGGGAUAACGUCCGGAAACGGGCGCUAAUACCGCAUACGUCCUGAGGGAGAAAGUGGGGGUUCUUCGGACCUCACGCUAUCAGAUGAGCCUAGGUCGGAUUAGCUAGUUGGUGGGGUAAAGGCCUACCAAGGCGACGAUCCGUAACUGGUCUGAGAGGAUGAUCAGUCACACUGGAACUGAGACACGGACCAGACUACUACGGGAGGCAGCAGUGGGGAAUAUUGGACAAUGGGCGAAAGCCUGAUACAGCAAUGCCGCGUGUGUGAAGAAGGUCUUCGGAUUGUAAAGCACUUUAAGUUGGGAGGAAGGGAAGUAAGUUAAUACCUUGCUGUUUUGACGUUACCAACAGAAUAAGCACCGGCUAACUUCGUG